rnacentral:rRNA from 1 species
GUUUCUUCGGAAAUGAGAGAGCGGCGUACGGGUGCGGAACACGUGUGCAACCUGCCUUUAUCUGGGGGAUAGCCUUUCGAAAGGAAGAUUAAUACUCCAUAAUAUAUUGAUUGGCAUCAAUUAAUAUUGAAAGCUCCGGCGGAUAGAGAUGGGCACGCGCAAGAUUAGCUAGUUGGUGAGGUAACGGCUCACCAAGGCAAUGAUCUUUAGGGGGCCUGAGAGGGUGAUCCCCCACACUGGUACUGAGACACGGACCAGACUCCUACGGGAGGCAGCAGUGAGGAAUAUUGGUCAAUGGGUGCAAGCCUGAACCAGCCAUCCCGCGUGAAGGACGACUGCCCUAUGGGUUGUAAACUUCUUUUGUAUAGGGAUAAACCUACCCUCGUGAGGGUAGCUGAAGGUACUAUACGAAUAAGCACCGGCUAACUCCGUGCCAGCAGCCGCGGUAAUACGGAGGGUGCAAGCGUUAUCCGGAUUUAUUGGGUUUAAAGGGUCCGUAGGCGGACUUAUAAGUCAGUGGUGAAAGCCUGUCGCUUAACGAUAGAACUGCCAUUGAUACUGUAAGUCUUG